rnacentral:rRNA from 1 species
AUGGCUCAGAUUGAACGCUGGCGGCAGGCCUAACACAUGCAAGUCGAGCGGUAGCACAGAGAGCUUGCUCUCGGGUGACGAGCGGCGGACGGGUGAGUAAUGUCUGGGAAACUGCCUGAUGGAGGGGGAUAACUACUGGAAACGGUAGCUAAUACCGCAUAACGUCGCAAGACCAAAGUGGGGGACCUUCGGGCCUCAUGCCAUCAGAUGUGCCCAGAUGGGAUUAGCUAGUAGGUGGGGUAACGGCUCACCUAGGCGACGAUCCCUAGCUGGUCUGAGAGGAUGACCAGCCACACUGGAACUGAGACACGGUCCAGACUCCUACGGGAGGCAGCAGUGGGGAAUAUUGCACAAUGGGCGCAAGCCUGAUGCAGCCAUGCCGCGUGUGUGAAGAAGGCCUUCGGGUUGUAAAGCACUUUCAGCGGGGAGGAAGGCGGUGAGGUUAAUAACCUCAUCGAUUGACGUUACCCGCAGAAGAAGCACCGGCUAACUCCGUGCCAGCAGCCGCGGUAAUACGGAGGGUGCAAGCGUUAAUCGGAAUUACUGGGCGUAAAGCGCACGCAGGCGGUCUGUCAAGUCGGAUGUGAAAUCCCCGGGCUCAACCUGGGAACUGCAUUCGAAACUGGCAGGCUAGAGUCUUGUAGAGGGGGGUAGAAUUCCAGGUGUAGCGGUGAAAUGCGUAGAGAUCUGGAGGAAUACCGGUGGCGAAGGCGGCCCCCUGGACAAAGACUGACGCUCAGGUGCGAAAGCGUGGGGAGCAAACAGGAUUAGAUACCCUGGUAGUCCACGCUGUAAACGAUGUCGAUUUGGAGGUUGUGCCCUUGAGGCGUGGCUUCCGGAGCUAACGCGUUAAAUCGACCGCCUGGGGAGUACGGCCGCAAGGUUAAAACUCAAAUGAAUUGACGGGGGCCCGCACAAGCGGUGGAGCAUGUGGUUUAAUUCGAUGCAACGCGAAGAACCUUACCUGGUCUUGACAUCCACAGAACUUAGCAGAGAUGCUUUGGUGCCUUCGGGAACUGUGAGACAGGUGCUGCAUGGCUGUCGUCAGCUCGUGUUGUGAAAUGUUGGGUUAAGUCCCGCAACGAGCGCAACCCUUAUCCUUUGUUGCCAGCGGUUCGGCCGGGAACUCAAAGGAGACUGCCAGUGAUAAACUGGAGGAAGGUGGGGAUGACGUCAAGUCAUCAUGGCCCUUACGACCAGGGCUACACACGUGCUACAAUGGCAUAUACAAAGAGAAGCGACCUCGCGAGAGCAAGCGGACCUCAUAAAGUAUGUCGUAGUCCGGAUUGGAGUCUGCAACUCGACUCCAUGAAGUCGGAAUCGCUAGUAAUCGUAGAUCAGAAUGCUACGGUGAAUACGUUCCCGGGCCUUGUACACACCGCCCGUCACACCAUGGGAGUGGGUUGCAAAAGAAGUAGGUAG